rnacentral:rRNA from 1 species
AUUGAACGCUGGCGGCAGGCCUAACACAUGCAAGUCGAGCGCGCGGCGGAAGGGUGAAUAAUGUAUGUGGAAUGCCCGAUAGAGGGGGAUAACGGAUGGAAACGGUAGCUAAUCACGCGUACUAUAGGAUAACACCUAUUGGAUUAGCUCGUAGGUGAGGUAAUGGCUCAACAAGGCGACGAUCCCUCGCUGGUCUGAGAGGAUGAUCAUCCACACUGGGACUGGGACACGGCCCAGACUCCUACGGCGGCGGCAGUGGGGAAUAGUGCACAAUGGGCGAAAGCCUGAUGCAGCCAUGCCGCGUGUAUGAAGAAGGCCCUAGGGUUGUAAAGUACUUUCAGUCGGGAGGCGUUACCGACAGAAUAAGCACCGGCUAACUCCGUGCCAGCAGCCGCGGUAAUUC